GGAGGCCCGGGCCUCGGAGCUGAGCUCCUGGGGUGCACGGCCAGCAUCUGGCUGGUAGUGAGCAAUGUGGUAGAGAGCCCCAAACCACGUGGCACAGGAGGCUGGGGCUCAAGGGCGCCUCCUUCUCAGCGUCUGAGCAUCCCGGAAGUAGGAGCUAACCUUCUCCUCGCAACUCCCCUGGAUCCAAGAGCUCCAUAAGAAACUCCACAUCCAACUGUGUUUCCCCAAUAUGUGGACUCCAGAUCAGCUCCUCGGUCAGGGCAGGUAAAAAGGCGUCAGCCCCCAGGGGCUCUAAGGAAGCCAGAGGACAGGUACUAAGUUUGGCAGGGGUGAACACAGACACCUUCCUUCAGGUGCCCAGGCCCGAGUGGGCGACUGCCUUCAAAGGGGGCUACCUUUCACCUGGAAGUGGGUACCCACCAUUAAACCACUCUAAGUUCAGAGGUCUUUUACCUUUAUUCUCACCGCCGGCCAGGCCUGCAUAGACGUCGCUGCACACCGCCAACAACAGCGCCACCUUGCGGCGCGGGGCGCACGCUGCGUGCAGAACAGGACUAGGAAAGUGUACUUCUGGCCCAAGAGAGUGAGCUUCUGGUCCAGGAUAAUGCACUUGUCUUUCUGGAUGAUGCACUUCCUGUCCAGUAUGGUACCCAGGCCCCGCCCAGCUAACCUAGACUGCGUUUCUGGCCAGUUUCUGGCUUUGUUUGCUGCAGUGUUUCUGUUUCCCAGCCUCCAU